rnacentral:rRNA from 1 species
GAUGAACGCUGGCGGCGUGCCUAAUACAUGCCAGUCGAGCGAACGGACGAGAAGCUUGCUUCUCUGAUGUUAGCGGCGGACGGGUGAGUAACACGUGGAUAACCUACCUAUAAGACUGGGAUAACUUCGGGAAACCGGAACUAAUACCGGAUGAUAUUUUGAACCGCAUGGUUCAAUAGUGAAAGACGGUCUUGCUGUCACUUAUAGAUGGAUCCGCGCUGCAUUAGCUAGUUGGUAAGGUAACGGCUUACCAAGGCAACGAUGCAUAGCCGACCUGAGAGGGUGAUCGGCCACACUGGAACUGAGACACGGUCCAGACUCCUACGGGAGGCAGCAGUAGGGAAUCUUCCGCAAUGGGCGAAAGCCUGACGGAGCAACGCCGCGUGAGUGAUGAAGGUCUUCGGAUCGUAAAACUCUGUUAUUAGGGAAGAACAUAUGUGUAAGUAACUGUGCACAUCUUGACGGUACCUAAUCAGAAAGCCACGGCUAACUACGUG